AUGAUCGCAUUGCAGAAAACAAUUCCUGAAACAAUGUCUGUGUUGCAGAAACAACUACCAUGUUGCAAAAGUUUGGAGAUUGCAGGAACAAUUCCUGAAACAACGGUCGGGUUGCUGCAGAAACAACUACCAUGUUGUAAAAAUCUGGAGAUUGCAGGAACAAUUCCUGAAACAACGUCUGGGUUGCAAAAACAAUUCCUGAAACAACGGCUGCGUUGCAGAAAUAACUACCAUGUUGCUUGCGUCAAAGCACGUCGCCGCCGACCGCAACAGAGCAGCAGCGCCGCCGCUCCUGCUGCUGCAGAAGCACGCCGACGAGUCGUUCGCCUAAAAAGUGAGUUGAGGUGA
rnacentral:rRNA from 1 species